AAUUCAAAUCUGUUAAAAGCUAGGACUCAAGAUCUAGGCAGCUCUAGACAGUACAGUAUUAUUAUUAAUGUGACUUCAAAGUACUAGAGUACAGCUUUCCAGAGAGGUACCUGGCUUUAGACCCUAGUGUUCAUUUCAGCCAAACCCUCUAAAGAUAUUGGGGACAUAGAAAUGUGCCUUUCUCUAAAAACUGCAGAAUACUAAUAUAUCCCUCAGUUUUCAUUUUAAUUUAUGUCAGUAGUUCUCUAAGAGGGACCUGAUAACGUCUCAAGGCAUUUUUUGCUCACUACUAGCAGGAGUUUCUCUUGGUGUGUAAUAUGUAGAGAUAUGAGGUACAGGUAUGUAUCCUAAUGAUGCACAGCCCAGUUCCAAGUGUCAAUUCUGCUGAGAACCUGCAGCCCCAGCUAAGAUGUUCUUAUAGAGAAAUCAAAGUCUUUAAUGUGUUUGGAGAAACAUUUUGUAUGACAUACCUCAAAAUAUCUGCAGAUUUCUCUGCUUUUUAAUAGUCAGUAUUGACAAAAUGAAAGAUAAGAGUUGGCUGGCUAGACUCAGUAACCACUAUCAAUAGCAUAUUUUUAUGCUAUAAAGUGCUGAUACUGAAAAGAGUAUUGUCAUAAUAGAUAUCUUGAUACCUUGGGACUUUUACUUCUUGAUUUCUCAGUACCAAUGUUCUUUCAGAUUCUGAGAUUAAAAGAUAUUUUCUGUAGCUAUCUUCUUUAUGCAUUAACAUCUAUCAGCCUUACCUGGUAUGUUGCCUUUGUCUGGACUUAGAAGAGUGUCAGUUGCUCAAAUUUUGUAAGUCUGUGUCUAAAAUUUGAAGGUAUAAUUGUGAAAAGAUGUGAAGUGUUCGCAGAAAACCUUUAUUGGUGGACAACAGACCUGCAACAGUCUGAAAACAAGACAUGAGGCUGUGCUGUUUUUUGUUUGUUUGUUUGUUUUGUUUUUUGUUUUGUCCAGUGGCUGGGGUUGUGCUGUAGACCCUUUGCUAUGAACUAAAGCAAGAGGCACUGAAAGGAACAAAAGGAAGGAGGGGGGAGACUGUGGCUUCCAAAUCUUCUUCCUCAAUUUCAUCUGAACAACCACUGGCUACCCCGUGGUUGGUGAUUUAUCUUUUCUGCCAUUGAGAUGAUUCUAGGGAACUUUUCUAAACUUCUGGCCAUAUCACUUAAUGAUAAUUAGCAUGACUUGUCUCAUACUGUAAGCUCCUAAAUGAUUGGGCAAGUAACAAAUCAAGUUACUAUCAACUUGUUGAAUUUUGCACUGCAGUCACCAGUUGUCCCAAGCACACAUUUUCUCUUUUUAAACAAAUAGGACAAAAAGAACAAGUAUUGUUAUCACUGUAUAUAUGGUAGUUCUUUCUCUAUGAAGGUUGAGGCAGGUUGCUUUGCUGUGAAUGUGGUAUGGUAGGUAGGCUGCCACUCCACCCAUUGAGUUAUAUCCAUAUUACUUUAUAUGAAUAAGGGCUAUGGCAUACUACCAGGAAUUUGAUCAGUUCAAAUAUGAUCUUUGUUCACUGAAAUAUGGCUUGACUUCUUUGCUUUUCUUAAAAGGUGCCAUGACCCUUUGAAAUAAAAAUCAUCCAGGAUUUCCUUUCCUUCUUCACUGAUAUAUUCUUAGAACUUUCUAAUUAACAAAUUAUAAUAAAAUGUGAGCAUUUGCGGUGUCAAAUAAACUAGAUUUCUAGCAUGAAUUUUCAGAAUUGGGAGGAAAGUUGCUAUGGGAACACCAACAGAACUCUUGAAGAUUAACUCUAACAAUAUUUUUUUAAUGACCCCUUUACACAGUUGAGUGAAAUAUCGGGUGAAGAAAUUGCCUAAGUACAAGUAAUAAAGGCAUCUUGUUAGCAUGGAGAGUGUCUGGCUCUGUGUUUCCUGAACAACUUUGUGUUAGGUGGGCAUUGCCUCAUAAUAGGCACAAAGCCCUGUAUAAUACAAGAGAUCCCUAUUAUGGCGUUACCACUGUAGCAAAGAGAUGGAAUGUUGAGUUUGCAUAAUAAUUUGAAGCAGUGACACUCAGUGUUAUUUCUGUAUAUAUGCAUACGACUUUCAGAUGUCUACUAGGUGCUAUGAUCUUGGUGUUGAUGGUCUGAACAAAAUGUCAAAUGAUGGUCUGAACAAAAAAGCCUUGACUUUCAUUUCAAAAGAAAUGACACUUUUCCUCUUACUUUAAGCUAUUGAAUCAUAAAGGAAAUCAUAGUGUUAAGAUCCAAACAGAAAGGAACUCAGAAUGCUCAACUUGAGGAGUGAACUAUUUUUGACAUGUUGGCAGAAGUGAGGCAGGCAAUGAAGGGUGGCAAGGCACUCAGUAAUAAGCUAUGUGGAGCACUUGUCAUGGAAGGAGCAGCAGUAUGAGAACCUGACUUAGCACUGAUUGGAAGAGAUACUACCAAUGUGUUCACAAGGCAAAAUCUGGAGAAGCAAAAGCAGAGGGAAAUAAUCCAUUCAAACCCUGACAUCUUGGUUUUUCAUUUUCCUAUCUCCUUCUUGAAACAGCCCAAAUAUCCUACUGAGAUGUGUGUCUAAGGAAGAACACCCCCCCAACAGAGAGUAGAUGUUUUAUUUUCUUUUGUUGUGGGGGGGGGGGGGGAACUUGUUGGCAAACAGAGAUAACCAGCCUGAGUGUAUGAUGCCUUAGGAGUUACUUACUUGUGAAAGAUCCAUUAUUCUUUCAGAGGGCUUCAAAGUUUCUUAAAGUGUUAAUUAGAAUGUUUAAACUAUUCAUGUAUUACGCAAACUCCACUGACCUACACUAUAUAUCCCAGUAAGUAUUCAUUUAAGGAUCUAAUAUUCACUUAUGUUAUGAAAUUUUAUAUAUAUAUAUAUAUAUAUAUAUAUAUAUAUGUAUAUAUAUAUAUACACACAAAUAUAUAUAAAACUUAGAAGAACACUAUCAAGAGUGCUCUGAACAAAUUUUACUAAUAAAAACAAAACUAAAAUGGACCAUUUUCCCUCUAAGCUCAUGACACUAGUCUAAUGUAUUGUGUUUUCUAAACAGUGGAAAACAAAGAAUUAAUUUAGUCUUUUCUAAUUGAGAAGUAUAGUUUUAGUUUUUAGCUUUAAAGUAUUGUUACUUAUGUCUUUCAGUUAUGGACUAGUUGCAGCCAAAGACUGCAGUUGGCCCCCCCUUGUAACCUAGUUAAUUUGGCAAAGGGAAAAUUACAAUUUCUGAGAUCUUUUACCUCAUUCUGUGAGCUGGCCUUUUCAUUUUGUAAUGAUUUUCUUUACAAUGCAAGAUAUAUAUAUGCCAAUUAUAUAUCAGACAGAGAGUUGACACUUAGUGUAUAUGAAGACUGUAAAAUUAAACACAAAAUGAUCCAGUUAGUAAAUGGGCUAAUGAACUCAAUAGUUCU
rnacentral:lncRNA from 1 species